UACGAAGGGGGCUAGCGUUGUUCGGAAUUACUGGGCGUAAAGCGUGCGCAGGCGGCUGCUCAAGUCAGGGGUGAAAGCCCGGGGCUCAACUCCGGAAUUGCCUUUAAGACUGCAUCGCUAGAAUUGUGGAGAGGUAAGUGGAAUUCCGAGUGUAGAGGUGAAAUUCGUAGAUAUUCGGAAGAACACCAGUGGCGAAGGCGACUUACUGGACACAUAUUGACGCUGAGGUGCGAAAGCGUGGGGAGCAAACAGG
rnacentral:rRNA from 1 species